rfam:Rattus norvegicus chromosome 1, whole genome shotgun sequence.
GGGGAUUUAGCUCAGUGGUAGAGCGCUUGCCUAGCAAGCACAAGGCACUGGGUUCGGUCCCCAGCUCUG